rfam:Gossypium hirsutum cultivar TM-1 chromosome 13, whole genome shotgun sequence
AAUAGGAGAAUGACAAAUCAUAUUUUUCCUUCUGAUUUUCAGCUUUUUUCUCUUUACAAAAUUCAAAUCCAACUAAAAAUACUAAAAAUCAGGAGGAAAAGUUUGAUUUAUCAUUCUCCUACU